CGACCUGUAGCCCAACGGAAGAGGCAAUAGUUUCAGGAACUAUGAAGUGUGAGUUCGAAUCUCACCAGGUCAA
rnacentral:tRNA from 1 species